rnacentral:rRNA from 1 species
UGGGGAAUAUUGCACAAUGGAGGGAACUCUGAUGCAGCGACGCCGCGUGAACGAAGAAGGCUUUCGAGUCGUAAAGUUCUUUUAUAUGGGAAGAUAAUGACGGUACCAUAAGAAAAAGCCCCGGCUAACUACGUGCCAGCAGCCGCGGUAAUACGUAGGGGGCUAGCGUUGUCCGGAAUCACUGGGCGUAAAGGGUUCGCAGGCGGAAAUGCAAGUCAGGUGUAAAAGGCAGUAGCUUAACUACUGUAAGCAUUUGAAACUGCAUAUCUUGAGAAGAGUAGAGGUAAGUGGAAUUUUUAGUGUAGCGGUGAGAUGCGUAGAUAUUAAAAAGAAUACCGGUGGCGAAGGCGACUUACUGGGCUCAUGCUGACGCUGAGGAACGAAAGCGUGGGUAGCAAACAGG